CACGAAGUAUAGUGAUAAAGUGAUUUAUUUGUGGACAUUGCAGAAAAUGGCGUAUGCAGCAUUGAUGCCAGCAAAUUUGGGGUUAGAAGGUUCCCAUGUUCAGAUUCAUAGGACCACUACGUCAUGCUUGAAUUUGGACACUAUGAGUAAAGGUCGGAGAUGAAGUUUUCCUCAAAAUCAUUCUAAACUUUACCGAGACUGUAGCAAGAGGAAGGGUCUAGAGCUCGAACCUAAAUGAUCUAGUUGGUGGUACAGAGAUUGGACCAGAAUGGUGUGAGGUAAACGUUCAAGUACCAAUAAAAAAAUGUAAACUUGGUAAGACCAUAUGGUUUAUUUUCUACAAUUCAAGAUUGUAUUGGUGCAUCCAUCGCAUGGCCCUAUCCAUUCAUCUCGGUAGUCCAUGAGGAUUGAUGACGCAUGAUGACUCAAGAUUUUAUGCUUCUUAUUUCUUUAAUUGCUUUUGAUUUCUUUGUUAAAUGUUAAGAGUUUAUGUUAGAUAAUGUUAUAACUUAUUUAUG